rnacentral:lncRNA from 1 species
UUAACAUAGGUGGGUUAUAGCCACUAGUAGUGUAUAAAACGUUAGUACAAUUUCCUGAUCAAAUUACUUAAUCUUUCUAUUAUUUUAGCUUACUAAAACUUCUUCUUUAAUCUCCAAAGAAUCUAAUUUGUUGCCUUUUCUCUUUUCCCAAGGCCGAAGACUUUCUUUUUCCUAGAUAUAUUCUCCCAUUUGAGCAUGAAAGAAGAUGAUUUUUCUGGAUUGCUCAAUUACUUUGCACACUUGAUUUCAUUGCUCUUUUACCUUACCCCAAAUACCUAAUCGUAGAAUAAUGUACAAUCAAUCUUCUCUCAUACUAGGUGCUUAAAAUCGCUCAGCUUUGGGAAUGAUAUUAUAAAUUGAUGUUUCUAACCUCUGAUUGUACUUCAGGGCUGCAUAUCAAUUGUUUUUCUUGCCGAUACUUAUUUUUUUUAAAUAUCUAACUUUUCUUAUAUUCCUUAGCUUGCUUAAACUUUUACCCUUGUGAAGUUGCCUGGAAGUCUGUGAAGUUAUAUAAAAUACAUAGUAUAUUCUGUCACAUCUUGGAAAUGUGAAUCCAUGUUUGUAUCUAUAUCAUACUCAACAAUAAUUCUUCCCACCCAGAGUUAGGGGACAGACCUGUCAGUCUCUCAUUCCUGAUCCUAUUUUAUUUCAUCACUUGAACUGUAUUUAAUAACUUACUUUUUCACUAAUGUCUCAUAUAUUACAAUAUAUAUGUCUAAAGUUUUGGAAUUUUCUUUUCAAUUUUUAUAUUUAAAUACAAGAAAAUAAAAUGCCUAAAUAUUACUUUUCUCUCCAGCUGUUGCUGAGACUUAUUUCUUCUCCUCUCAGCUACCUACCUCGUCCAGAUAGAGAUGAUCAGCCCAUUUCUAUCUAACUGUCAGCUCACAAUUAUUAAAAGUCUUCCAUAUACCUGGCUCUGUGCUUUGUGCACAGAUACUUG